GAUCAGGAUGUUACCUGGGACCUCUGUCUGUCCUGCACUGGUGCUGUUUUUCCUGAAGCGACCAGCCUGGACCUUCAUGUUGGGACACAGGACAUCUGCAAAGAGAAAGACAUCAAUAACAGGUCAGAAUGUCAAAGUGCAGCUUCCUGAAUGUCAUCCAUCAUUCCUCCAACUUUCCCCACCGUCUCAGAAGCCCCAGGCUCCCGCGGGUUCCCUCAUGAUGUCUUUUCCAGCACACGGCCAACAUCUCUCUGAAGAGCACUGACCCUUGCCAGGGCCAGCCUUUUGCUAGCGGUCCAUCAGCAGAUAAUACACCACCAGGGCUGAGGAGGAGACCUGCUCGAAACAUCCUGUAUGGAGGAGGAUGAAGAUGAGGAAGAAGAUGAGGAGAAAGUGAAGCAUGUGGAGGACUCCCCGGCAUGUGUUGCUAACAGAUGGACAGCAGGUGUGGGAGUGAGGACGCCCUUUUUAGACAUCAGCUGAAUGCCACAGCCACUCAGAUGGAUUGUUACAUUUACAGUCAAACUUUCCUGCAUCAAUAACACAUACAGACAAAGAAUAUAUCACA